rnacentral:rRNA from 1 species
UACGUAGGGGGCAAGCGUUGUCCGGAUUUAUUGGGCGUAAAGAGCGUGUAGGCGGCCAUACAGGUCAGCUGUGAAAACUCGAGGCUCAACCUCGAGACGUCGGUUGAAACCGUAUGGCUAGAGUCCGGAAGAGGAGAGUGGAAUUCCCGGUGUAGCGGUGAAAUGCGCAGAUAUCGGGACGAACACCUAUGGCGAAGGCAGCUCUCUGGGACGGUACUGACGCUGAGACGCGAAAGCGUGGGGAGCGAACAGG